rnacentral:rRNA from 1 species
UACGUAGGUGGCAAGCGUUGUCCGGAUUUAUUGGGCGUAAAGCGAGCGCAGGCGGUUUCUUAAGUCUGAUGUGAAAGCCCCCGGCUCAACCGGGGAGGGUCAUUGGAAACUGGGAAACUUGAGUGCAGAAGAGGAGAGUGGGAUUCCAUGUGUAGCGGUGAAAUGCGUAGAUAUAUGGAGGAACACCAGUGGCGAAGGCGGCUCUCUGGUCUGUAACUGACGCUGAGGCUCGAAAGCGUGGGGAGCAAACAGG